rnacentral:rRNA from 1 species
UACGUAGGGUGCAAGCGUUAAUCGGAAUUACUGGGCGUAAAGCGUGCGCAGGCGGUUUUGUAAGACUGUCGUGAAAUCCCCGGGCUUAACCUGGGAAUGGCGAUGGUGACUGCAAGGCUAGAGUUUGGCAGAGGGGGGUAGAAUUCCACGUGUAGCAGUGAAAUGCGUAGAGAUGUGGAGGAACACCGAUGGCGAAGGCAGCCCCCUGGGUCAAAACUGACGCUGAGGAGCGAAAGCAUGGGGAGCGAACAGG